AUGAUGAAUCAGGGCCUUGGGCCAUUUGGUGUAUUUUGUUACUAUCAAUAUUCUGACUACGCUGUUGGCGAUGGUGGAACUGGAGAGGGUACAGAUGCGGAGGCGACAAUGUCGACUUCGGGUGAAGAAUGUGAGCAUCCAGAGUAUAUCAUUCGCGGGCCACCCCCUGCUAUCCAGUACUGCGGAGAGCUUGAAAAAUACUGUCACUGGGGCAAUGAAGUUAAGCUCUAUCAGCACCAUGUGAACACCUUGUUUGCCAUGUUCCGCCGCAAAAAGGCAGACAUCAAAUACUAUGUGUGCACCAUCAACAAAACAUUUUCAAAGCCAGGCCAGCGCGUGGAUUACAUUGACCCAGAUGAUGAUACACUCAAGGUGAAACUUGCAAACAGUGAACUGCACGCCAAAUGUCGCAUCAUGCUAGGAACCGACAAGAGAGCCACCAUAACCACCAACUGGCCACUCCAUGUUCUACUUAAGAAAGACGCCUUCCAAUGGACCCAAGAACACACGGCUGUAUUUGAAGUACUCAAAACAAAACUGACCCCCUGCCCUGUAUUAACUCUGCCUGACUUUAGUAGGCCUUUUGUCCUGGAGACUGAUGUAUGUGGGACAGGUUUGGGAGCAGUUUUUAUGGAAAGUGAGGAAAAGAGAACAUUGUGGCUGAUGCUUUGUCCCGGGGCGACACUGUGCUAUGCUACCUCUUGUGUUCCAGACUGGAUUAAAGAUGUUAAUAUGGAUCGGAGGAAGUACAUCAAUGACCCUGGCAGCUGUAAACUGCUGAAGAAACUAGCUGAUGGUCGAAGGCGGUCGUCUUUUUUAAGCCGAUCGUGCAGUGGGGCUGUCCUCAUCCAAACUCGCCGUUCACAUCUAGGCAAGCUCGCUCCCCCGUCGCCGGCAAACCCUAGCCAAACCAAAAUGGGGCUCUUCUUCGGCGCCGGCAGCAGCAGUAGCAAGGCCAAGGGCAAAGCCCCCGCCGUCCCUUUCCCCUCCGAGGUCCUACCGCCUCAACUCACCGACCCCGAGGACGACGACGCCUAG
rnacentral:rRNA from 1 species